AACGAACGCUGGCGGCAUGCCUAACACAUGCAAGUCGAACGAGACCUUCGGGUCUAGUGGCGCACGGGUGCGUAACGCGUGGGAACCUGCCCUUAGGUUCGGAAUAACUCCCCGAAAGGGGUGCUAAUACCGGAUAAUGUCUUCGGACCAAAGAUUUAUCGCCUUUGGAUGGGCCCGCGUUGGAUUAGCUAGUUGGUAGGGUAAAAGCCUACCAAGGCGACGAUCCGUAGCUGGGCUGAGAGGAUGAUCAGCCACACUGGAACUGAGACACGGUCGAGACUCUUACGGGAGGCAGCAGUGGGGAAUAUUGGACAAUGGGCGCAAGCCUGAGACAGCCAUACCGCGUGGGGGAAGAAGGCCUUCGGGUUGUAAAGCCCUUUUGUUGGGAAAGAAAAGCAGCAGGUUAAUACCCCGCUGUGAGGACGGUACCCAAAGAAUAAGCAACGGCUAACUUCGUG
rnacentral:rRNA from 1 species